GACGUAGGAGGCGAGCGUUGUCCGGAUUCAUUGGGCGUAAAGAGCACGCAGGCGGUUUGGCAAGUCGGACGUGAAAAUCCGGGGCUCAACCCCGGACCUGCAUCCGAAACUGCCCGACUAGAGGUAGGUAGGGGAGAUCGGAAUUCCUGGUGUAGCGGUGAAAUGCGCAGAUAUCAGGAGGAACACCGGUGGCGAAGGCGGAUCUCUGGGCCGUGCCUGACGCUCAGGUGCGAAAGUGUGGGGAGCGAACAGG
rnacentral:rRNA from 1 species